AUAUAUAUAUAUGUGUGUGUGUACAUAUAUACACAUAUGUAUGUUUGUAUAUAUACACAUAUGUAUGUAUAUGUACACACACAUAUAUAUAUGCAUAUAUAUAGACA
rnacentral:miRNA from 1 species